UGUAUAGAGCAACGGACUUCUAAUCCGUAGGUUGAAGGUUAGAAUCCUUCUGUCUCGACCAAACAAGAAACCGGGUC
rnacentral:tRNA from 1 species